CACCGCGGUUAUACGAGAGGCCCAAGUUGAUAAACGACGGCGUAAAGAGUGGUUAAGGAAACAUGAUAAUAAAGCCGAAGACCUUCAGAGCUGUCAUACGCCUCUCCGAAGCCGUGAAGCCCGACUACGAAAGUGGCUUUACUUAACCUGACCCCACGAAAGCUGAGAAA
rnacentral:rRNA from 1 species